rnacentral:rRNA from 1 species
ACUAGAGUAGCACUCGCAUAUCAAUAAGCGGAGGAAAAGAAACUAACAAGGAUUCCCUUAGUAACGGCGAGUGAAGCGGGAAGAGCUCAAAUUUGAAAUCUUCAAGGUUCUACCUUGACGAAUUGUAGUUUAUAGAAGUGUUUUCUGUUAGUGGAGUGGCAAAAGUUCUUUGGAGUAGGACAUCAUAGAGGGUGAGAAUCCCGUAUUUGGUCAUUCCUCCUAGCGUUGUGAUACACUUUCAACGAGUCGGAUUGUUUGGGAAUGCAGUCCAAAAUGGGUGGUAGAUUUCAUCUAAAGCUAAAUAUUGGCGAGAGACCGAUAGCGAACAAGUACCGUGAGGGAAAGAUGAAAAGAACUUUGAAAAGAGAGUUAAACAGUACGUGAAAUUGUCAAAAGGGAAGCGUUUGACACCAGUAUUGUUUUCUCGAAAAUCAAUUAAAAAUGGCGGGAUGUUGUGUUGUAUUGACUUUAUCAGCUUUCUGCACUCUUUUUCCUGUCUUUUUAAUGCACUUUUCGUUUAACAAGUCAACAUCAAUUUCUUUUGUUGUAAAAGGGUCAUUGGAAGGUGGCUUUCUUUUCGGAGAAAGUGUUUAUAGCCUUUGGACUUCUGCAGUCGGAGAGAUUGAGGUCUGCAGCGUAGAUCCUUCGGGGUUAGAUACAUUUGUGCUAAGCUAUAGCCUUUCAUAGACAACUUGUUGACUAUGAUCAGUCAUGUAGCUUACUCGCUUAUGCUAUUUUACCUACGCUUAGGAUGUUGAAGAUGUAGCACAUCAU